GUCCAGACUCCUACGGGAGGCAGCAGUGGGGAAUAUUGGACAAUGGGGGGAACCCUGAUCCAGCGACGCCGCGUGAGUGAAGAAGUAUUUCGGUAUGUAAAGCUCUAUCAGCAGGGAAGAAAGAAAUGACGGUACCUGACUAAGAAGCCCCGGCUAACUACGUGCCAGCAGCCGCGGUAAUACGUAGGGGGCAAGCGUUAUCCGGAUUUACUGGGUGUAAAGGGAGCGUAGACGGCUGUGCAAGCCAGAUGUGAAAGCCCGGGGCUCAACUCCGGGACUGCUUUUGAAACUGUGUUGCUAGAUUGCAGGAGAGGUAAGUGGAAUUCCUAGUGUAGCGGUGAAAUGCGUAGAUAUUAGGAGGAACACCAGUGGCGAAGGCGGCUUACUGGACUGUAAAUGACGCUGAGGCUCGAAAGCGUGGGGAGCAAACAGGAUUAGAUACCCGCGUACA
rnacentral:rRNA from 1 species